UACGUAGGGGCUAGCGUUGUCCGGAAUCAUUGGGCGUAAAGAGCGCGUAGGCGGCCCGAUAAGUCUGCUGUGAAAGUCCAGGGCUCAACCCUGGAAUGCCAGUGGAUACUGUCGGGCUAGAGUACGGAAGAGGCGAGUGGAAUUCCUGGUGUAGCGGUGGAAUGCGCAGAUAUCAGGAGGAACACCGGUGGCGAAGGCGGGUCUCUGGGCCGAUACUGACGCUGAGGAGCGGAAAGCAUGGGUAGCGAACAGG
rnacentral:rRNA from 1 species